AUACCUCACCAUGAAUAUGUUGGGCUGAAUUAUCAAUAUGUUGAAAAUCUACUUUAUUAGGAUCCCAAAUAACCCAUAAUCUUUCUCUCAUAGUUGAUGAAGCAUUUGUGUACCACUUCCAUCCAUGCAAUAUUUUAUUAAGUAAACUAUCGGCUAUAUUAUUCUGAACUCUAUGCUCACUAAUUGCUAUCAUAGUAACUUUAUUUUUCCUAAAAAAUACCUUCAUUUCCUUGUGCUUCACCACUUGGUUGAAACCUCUUACAUUCCAUGUUACUAGCAUACUUGCAGAGGGAGUAUUGGUGGGAAGAAUUCUUUCAUAUCCACAUUAGUACCUCCUCUUUCUUGUCCAACGUCGAAGGAAUUGCUGCAAUUACCUGGUGUGUUGGUUAGGAGAUAAGGCCUUUUAUCAGUUGAAUUUUUCUUAAAAGUUUGCUAUUGCUCUGUUGUACUUGCUGUAGCUAUUCCUGUGUUGUCACUAUCCAUGUCUUGAAAUUGUGGUUUCAUACUUUCUUUCUCAAGCUCCUCUGUAGGUUUCCAUUCCAUUUUCUGCGUCUGUUUCCCCUGUCCCUUUGCGGCUUUUUGUUUCUUCACAGGUGGUGGGUUAGUUUUACAAGUAUGUCCAACUUGUAGGCAUUUUUCAUAAUACAGUGGCUUCUAAUCAUACCAUACUUCGUGCUCCAUCAGUCUACCCUUCAGAUCCUGGAUUUUAUUUUUUUUAGGGAGUGGUCUGGUAAUGUCUACUUCUACCAAUAUCCGAGCAAAUGAUAUUCUGAUAGCUGCUAGCCUGAGUUGUACAUUCAUCUGCAUACAGGGGUUUCUCCAAGCUACUCCCUAUUUUAAUUAACACUACAUCAUUCCAUCAGUUCAGGGGCAAGCUAGGUUGCUUAAUCCAUAGCGGAAUUAUAGUUAGGAUUUCCUCACUAAAAUUGAAAUCUGUUGUUCAAGGUUUAAUAAUGACUGGUCUUCGGAGUAGGUAUUGUGGUCGUCCAGAGCAUAACACUACAUCUCUUUCUUCUUCAUUCGCAAAUCUUACCAUAAAGUACCCAUCUGAAUGAUACAACACAAUUGGCUUUGUAGCGAAGCUCCUCUACGCAAGUAUGAAUCUCUCCAUAGCACCUAUAGAGGGGCUGAUUCCCACUACAUAUACCUAGGCAUUUUUCAUAAUACAGUGGCUUCUAAUCAUACCAUACUUCGUGCUCCAUCAGUCUACCCUUCAGAUCCUGGAUUUUAUUUUUUUUAGGGAGUGGUCUGGUAAUGUCUACUUCUACCAAUAUCCGAGCAAAUGAUAUUCUGCUAGCCUGAGUUGUACAUUCAUCUGCAUACAGGGGUUUCUCCAAGCUACUCCCUAUUUUAAUUAACACUACAUCAUUCCAUCAGUUCAGGGGCAAGCUAGGUAGCUUAAUCCAUAGCGGAAUUAUAGUUAGGAUUUCCUCACUAAAAUUGAAAUCUGUUGUUCAAGGUUUAAUAAUGACUGGUCUUCGGAGUAGGUAUUGUGGUCCAGAGCAUAACACUACAUCUCUUUCUUCUUCAUUCGCAAAUCUUACCAUAAAGUACCCAUCUGAAUGAUACAACACAAUUGGCUUUGUAGCGAAGCUCCUCUACGCAAGUAUGAAUCUCUCCAUAGCACCUAUAGAGGGGCUGAUUCCCACUACAUAUACCACAAUAGCAGACUUCUAUUUUGCAUUCUCAUAAGCUACAUCAUCCGCAGUUACUUCUACCACUGUCUCCCCAUCAAUAACAGUGGGUGGAAUGAAUGAUAGAUCCAUACCUUUAGUAGCCAACCUAUUUGUAGCGAAUAAAUUCUUCCAUGGUUUCUCAAGCAGCUUCUCCACUUGCUUAUGCUUCUUUGAAGCAGUUCCUAGCUCAUUUGGAGUAUUUGUUCCUUUUAGUUUUUGCAGAUCUGUAUUUUCUCCAAUUGCUUGCUUGGUAGCUAAUUUAGGCCAAGUUUCAACACUUUUUGCCUUCCCUUUUUCAUUGGACAUCAUUGUCGGUGUUAUCUGAGGGGUUCCCAUCGGGGUUUUG
rnacentral:lncRNA from 1 species